rnacentral:rRNA from 1 species
UACGAAGGGGGCUAGCGUUGUUCGGAAUUACUGGGCGUAAAGGGCGCGUAGGCGGCGUGUCAAGUCAGGCGUGAAAGCCCCGGGCUCAACCUGGGAACCGCGCUUGAGACUGGCAUGCUCGAGUUCGGGAGAGGAUGGUGGAAUUCCCGGUGUAGCGGUGAAAUGCGCAGAUAUCGGGAGGAACACCAAUGGCGAAGGCAGCUUGCUGGGACGGUACUGACGCUGAGGCGCGAAAGCGUGGGGAGCAAACAGG